GCGUCGGUACUCAAGCGGUCAACGAGGUCGGUCUGUAAAACCGAUGGAUUUAUCCUACGCUGGUUCGAAUCCAGCCCGGCGCACCA
rnacentral:tRNA from 1 species